GACGAACGCUGGCGGCGCGCCUAACACAUGCAAGUCGAACGGAGUGUUGAGAGCUUGCUCUUGACACUUAGUGGCGAACGGGUGAGUAACGCGUGAGCAAUCUGCCUCAGAGUGGGGGACAACAGUUGGAAACGACUGCUAAUACCGCAUAAGCCCACGGUUCCGCAUGGAACAGCGGGAAAAGAUUUAUCGCUUUGAGAUGAGCUCGCGUCCGAUUAGCUGGAUGGUGAGGUAACGGCCCACCAUGGCGACGAUCGGUAGCCGGACUGAGAGGUUGACCGGCCACAUUGGGACUGAGACACGGCCCAGACUCCUACGGGAGGCAGCAGUGGGGAAUAUUGCACAAUGGGGGAAACCCUGAUGCAGCAACGCCGCGUGAGUGAUGACGGCCUCGGUUGGUAAAGUACGUCUGUCUUCUAGGGACGAGUAAUGACGGUACCUAAACUAAG
rnacentral:rRNA from 1 species